rnacentral:rRNA from 1 species
AGAGUUUGAUCAUGGCUCAGAUUGAACGCUGGCGGCAGGCCUAACACAUGCAAGUCGAACGGUAACAGGAAACAGCUUGCUGUUUCGCUGACGAGUGGCGGACGGGUGAGUAAUGUCUGGGAAACUGCCUGAUGGAGGGGGAUAACUACUGGAAACGGUAGCUAAUACCGCAUAACGUCGCAAGACCAAAGAGGGGGACCUUCGGGCCUCUUGCCAUCAGAUGUGCCCAGAUGGGAUUAGCUAGUAGGUGGGGUAACGGCUCACCUAGGCGACGAUCCCUAGCUGGUCUGAGAGGAUGACCAGCCACACUGGAACUGAGACACGGUCCAGACUCCUACGGGAGGCAGCAGUGGGGAAUAUUGCACAAUGGGCGCAAGCCUGAUGCAGCCAUGCCGCGUGUAUGAAGAAGGCCUUCGGGUUGUAAAGUACUUUCAGCGGGGAGGAAGGGAGUAAAGUUAAUACCUUUGCUCAUUGACGUUACCCGCAGAAGAAGCACCGGCUAACUCCGUGCCAGCAGCCGCGGUAAUACGGAGGGUGCAAGCGUUAAUCGGAAUUACUGGGCGUAAAGCGCACGCAGGCGGUUUGUUAAGUCAGAUGAGAAAUCCCCGGGCUCAACCUGGGAACUGCAUCUGAUACUGGCAAGCUUGAGUCUCGUAGAGGGGGGUAGAAUUCCAGGUGUAGCGGUGAAAUGCGUAGAGAUCUGGAGGAAUACCGGUGGCGAAGGCGGCCCCCUGGACGAAGACUGACGCUCAGGUGCGAAAGCGGGGGGAGCAAACAGGAUUAGAUACCCUGGUAGUCCACGCCGUAAACGAUGUCGACUUGGAGGUUGUGCCCUUGAGGCGUGGCUUCCGGAGCUAACGCGUUAAGUCGACCGCCUGGGGAGUACGGCCGCAAGGUUAAAACUCAAAUGAAUUGACGGGGGCCCGCACAAGCGGUGGAGCAUGUGGUUUAAUUCGAUGCAACGCGAAGAACCUUACCUGGUCUUGACAUCCACGGAAGUUUUCAGAGAUGAGAAUGUGCCUUCGGGAACCGUGAGACAGGUGCUGCAUGGCUGUCGUCAGCUCGUGUUGUGAAAUGUUGGGUUAAGUCCCGCAACGAGCGCAACCCUUAUCCUUUGUUGCCAGCGGUCCGGCCGGGAACUCAAAGGAGACUGCCAGUGAUAAACUGGAGGAAGGUGGGGAUGACGUCAAGUCAUCAUGGCCCUUACGACCAGGGCUACACACGUGCUACAAUGGCGCAUACAAAGAGAAGCGACCUCGCGAGAGCAAGCGGACCUCAUAAAGUGCGUCGUAGUCCGGAUUGGAGUCUGCAACUCGACUCCAUGAAGUCGGAAUCGCUAGUAAUCGUGGAUCAGAAUGCCACGGUGAAUACGUUCCCGGGCCUUGUACACACCGCCCGUCACACCAUGGGAGUGGGUUGCAAAAGAAGUAGGUAGCUUAACCUUCGGGAGGGCGCUUACCACUUUGUGAUUCAUGACUGGGGUGAAGUCGUAACAAGGUAACCGUAGGGGAACCUGCGGUUG